rnacentral:rRNA from 1 species
UGAAUACGAGACGCUAAGGCGUCGAAGUAGUGUAUGUCAUGCUUCCAAGAAAAGCUUGCACUGUCAUAGAUAAAAAACGCCUGUACCAUAACCGACACAGGUGGGUAGGUAGAGUAUACUAAGGGGCGCGAGAUAACUCUCUCUAAGGAACUCGGCAAAAUAACUCCGUAACUUCGGGAGAAGGAGUGCCUUAUUCGUAAGGUUGCAAUAACAAGAUCCAAGCAACUGUUUAUCAAAAACACAGGUCUCCGCUAAGUCGUAAGACGAUGUAUGGGGGCUGACGCCUGCCCAGUGCCAGAAGGUUAAAGAAGUCGGUUAGCAAUUGCGAAGCUGGUAACUGAAGCCCUGGUGAACGGCGGCCGUAACAAUAACGGUCCUAAGGUAGCGAAAUUCCUUGUCGGGUAAGUUCCGACCCGCACGAAAGGCGUAAUGAUUUGGAUACUGUCUCGGAGAGGGGCUCGGUGAAAUAGACUUGUCUGUGAAGAUGCGGACUACCUGCACCAGGACAGAAAGACCCUAUGAAGCUUUACUGUAACUUGAAAUUGAAAUUGGACUUUAUUCGCGCAGUAUAGGUGGGAGGCGUUGAUUAUAAUCUUUCGGGAUUAUUGGAGCCAUCAGUGAGAUACCACCCUUGUAAUGUUAGAUUUCUAACUUUGAAUCAUUAUCUGGUCAAAGAACAGUUUCAGGCGGGCAGUUUGACUGGGGCGGUCGCCUCCUAAACGGUAACGGAGGCGUACAAAGGUUUCCUCUGAACGGUUAGAAAUCGUAUCUAGAGUGUAAAGGCAUAAGGAAGCUUGACUGUGAGACCUACAAGUCGAGCAGGGACGAAAGUCGGUCUUAGUGAUCUGACGGUACUGAGUGGAAAGGCCGUCACUCAACGGAUAAAAGUUACUCUAGGAUAACAGGCUGAUCUCCCCCAAGAGUUCACAUCGACGGGGAGGUUUGGCACCUCGAUGUCGGCUCAUCGCAUCCUGGGGCGGUAGUACGUCCCAAGGGUUGGGCUGUUCGCCCAUGAAAGCGGUACGCGAGCUGGGUUCAGAACGUCGUGAGACAGUUCGGUCCAUAUCCGGUGUAGGCGUUAGAAUAUUGAGAGGAGCCUUCUUUAGUACGAGAGGACCGAGAAGGACAUACCUCUGGUGUACCAGUUAUCGUGCCAACGGUAAACGCUGGGUAGCUAUGUAUGGAGUGGAUAACCGCUGAAAGCAUCUAAGUGGGAAGCCCACCUCAAGAUAAGUAUUCUCAUCACGUAAGUGAGUAAGGUCACGGUAAGACUAACCGUUUGAUAGGCAUUAAGUGUAAGUACAGUAAUGUAUGUGCUGAGAUGUCCUAAUAGACCGAGGACUUGAAU